UAGCUCCUACGGGGCGCAGCAGUGGGGAAUAUUGCACAAUGGGGGGAACCCUGAUGCAGCGACGCCGCGUGGGUGAAGAAGUAUUUCGGUAUGUAAAGCCCUACCAGCAGGGAAGAAGAAUGACGGUACCUGACUAAGAAGCACCGGCUAAAUACGUGCCAGCAGCCGCGGUAAUACGUAUGGUGCAAGCGUUAUCCGGAUUUACUGGGUGUAAAGGGAGCGCAGGCGGUGCGGCAAGUCUGAUGUGAAAGCCCGGGGCCCAACCCCGGUACUGCAUUGGAAACUGCC
rnacentral:rRNA from 1 species